AUACGUAUGGUGCAAGCGUUGCUCGGAAUUACUGGGCGUAAAGGGUGCGUAGGCGGGUAUGCAAGUCUGUUGUGAAAUACCGCAGCUCAACUGCGGUGCUGCGACGGAAACUGCAUAUCUGGAGUCUUGGAGAGGCAGACGGAAUUCCCGGUGUAGCGGUGAAAUGCGCAGAUAUCGGGAGGAACACCGAUGGCGAAGGCAGUCUGCUGGACAGAGACUGACGCUGAGGCACGAAAGCGUGGGGAGCGAACAGGAUUAGAAACCCUAGUAGUCC
rnacentral:rRNA from 1 species